CAAUGAUGGAAUAAUACUGGUAGGAUUAGCAGGUCCUUCAGGGGCUGGGAAGACUGUUUUCACAGAGAAGGUACAAAACUUCAUGCCCAAUGUUGCCGUCAUUUCAAUGGACAACUACAAUGAUUCUAGCCGAGUUGUUGACGGCAAUUUUGAUGAUCCACGCUUGACAGAUUAUGACACACUUCUCAAGAAUGUCCAUGAUUUAAAGGCAGGAAAAUCAGCUGAGGUUCCAAUCUAUGAUUUCAAGUCUAGCUCCCGCAUUGGAUACAGGACGGUUGAAGUGCCACCUUCUCGCAUAGUGAUUAUUGAGGGAAUCUAUGCCUUGAGCGAAAAGCUGCGACCUAUGCUCGACCUUCGAGUAUCGGUGACUGGGGGAGUUCAUUUUGACCUUGUAAAACGGGUUCUACGAGACAUCCAACGUGCUGGCCAAGCACCAGAGGAAAUUAUCCAGCAGAUAUCUGAAACGGUAUAUCCAAUGUACAAAGCUUUUAUUGAGCCAGAUCUCCAAACAGC
rnacentral:misc_RNA from 1 species